GUAUAUGCAACAAGACGCUCUCUCGAGCGUUAAGUUGCUGGGGCUUUUUAAAUAGGCGCCUGCGUGAUUUGCAACGAGCGGUAAGAGUAUAUUCAACGAUUUGUGGGCUUGAUUUGUAAUUGUACAUAAGUUUAUUAAAUAGUGACACGUUGCAACAUAAUGUAUACAGCAAAUUUAAUUAAGGGAUGGACCAUUAGAAAAGUGAUGAUAUGGGGGGGGAUUUUCUAAGAGGCAAUAUUUUUUUUUGUACACCUAUAGAAAUUUUUUUUGUCUCACUUGAUGGCUGGAAAUAUAUUUUUCUAUUAAAAUUUAUAGGCCUAUCUUCCAAGAAAGGAAUUUUUUUUGUACUCUGCCUGGGAAGAUUUUUUUCCUCUAAUUUUUUCCUGGGAAUAAAUUUUUUUGGUCCCCCCCCUCCCCAUCAGUUUUCUAAUGGUCCGUCCCUAAGGUCGUCAGGUCCGUUGCACAAUCAGGUCUGUUGCACAAGAGUUCAUCAUAUCGCUCAACCGAAGAAUUCCUACAGGUC